AGAGUUUGAUCAUGGCUCAGAUUGAACGCUGGCGGUAGGCUUAACACAUGCAAGUCGUGCGAGAAAGUAUCUUCGGAUAUGAGUAGAGCGGCGGACGGGUGAGUAACGCGUAGGAAUCUACCUAGUAGAAGGGGAUAGCCCGGGGAAACUCGGAUUAAUACCGUAUACCUCCUUUGGGAGAAAGAAGGCCUCUCUUUGAAGCUUUCGCUACUAGAUGAGCCUGCGUAAGAUUAGCUUGUUGGUGAGGUAAAGGCUCACCAAGGCAACGAUCUUUAGCGGGUCUGAGAGGACGAUCCGCCACAUUGGGACUGAGACACGGCCCAGACUCCUACGGGAGGCAGCAGUGGGGAAUAUUGGACAAUGGGCGCAAGCCUGAUCCAGCCAUACCGCGUGUGUGAAGAAGGCCCUAGGGUUGUAAAGCACUUUAAGUUGGGAAGAAAAGUUAUUGGUUAAUACCCAAUAACCGUGACAUUACCUUCAGAAUAAGGACCGGCUAAUUCCGUGCCAGCAGCCGCGGUAAUACGGAAGGUCCAAGCGUUAAUCGGAAUUACUGGGCGUAAAGCGCGCGUAGGUGGUUUAUUAAGUUGGAUGUGAAAUCCCCGGGCUCAACCUGGGAACUGCAUCCAAAACUGAUUCACUAGAGUACGAUAGAGGGAGGUAGAAUUCACAGUGUAGCGGUGGAAUGCGUAGAUAUUGUGAAGAAUACCAAUGGCGAAGGCAGCCUCCUGGAUCUGUACUGACACUAAGGUGCGAAAGCGUGGGUAGCGAACAGGAUUAGAUACCCUGGUAGUCCACGCCGUAAACGAUGUCAACUAGCUGUUGGGAAACAAUGUUUUUCAGUGGCGCAGCUAACGUAGUAAGUUGACCGCAUGGGGAGUACGGCCGCAAGGCUAAAACUCAAAUGAAUUGACGGGGACCCGCACAAGCG
rnacentral:rRNA from 1 species